rnacentral:tRNA from 1 species
AAUAUGACGAGAAUGCUGCAGCAGGUAGUCAAAAAGGGAACGGCUACGUCCGGCACCUAUCACGGCGACCUGGCGGGAAAAACAGGUUC